GUGCUCGCUUCAGCAACACAUAUACUAAAAUUGGAACAAUACAGAGAAGAUUAGCAUGGCACCUGCGCAAGGAUGACACGAAAAUUCGUGAAGCAUUCCAUAUUUUA
ensembl:snRNA U6 U6 spliceosomal RNA